CAUAUGGAGAGCACGUCCUGAGCCUGUAGCAUUCCCCGUGAACAGCAGACGCUUCCCUAGCACGGCCGUCUCUAACUCCUGCGAUCAGCUUGUGACCUAUGAACCUUGUUUCAAAGCCACUAACACGGCCUUCUGCUUUAAAAGCAUCCCCGUGGCUGCGGCCCCCAGUGUGUAGCUGGGGUCCGUCCUCACACUCCCAGCGAUCCUCUGGACUUCCCAAAUAAACUCAUCUGUUCUGGAGAGCCUCCCUCUCUGAGGUUGAACUUAUCUUGUAGAAUGGGGUCUCCACACAUCUGGAUCCUAAAGGAAAUCUCAGAUUUAGAACGAUGUUGCGGAGUCUGCUGUCAAACCUUGGCUCAAGCGUCUCUCUCGGUCUCCCAAGCUGCGAUUACGGGCGUGAGCCACCAUGCCCAGCCCACAUUUCUAAAAUACGGUAUUUCAGUGCAAACCUUGCUAAUAUAAUCACUGUUUCUAAUUGUAUCCAGCUUACAGAGGGCAGGGAUUUAUUUUUAUUUUAAUUUUUGGCUGAUGUUAUAUAAAUAAGAAUAUUCAUGAAUAGUUUCUGAAUUUUGUGGGAAUCAAAUAGGGAGAAAAAGUGAAUCCUUCCACCUUUGUUCACAAAGGACACUUGGUCAAGUUAUUGCAGAUGUCAACCCAAAGAGUCAGACUCCGUACAAUAUUUGAAGAGAUUUAAUCUGACCAUGGCCCGUGACACAGCCCUUAGGAGAUCCUGAGGACAUAAGCCCAAGGUGGUCGGGUCACAGCUUGGAUUUAUACAUUUCAGGGAGACAUAAGGCAUCCAUCAAUACGUACAAGAUAUAUGUUGGUUUGGGCCAGAAAGAUUGGACCACUCAAAGCUGGGGCCACUGUACUCCAGCCUGGGCGACAGAGUGAGACCAUGACUCAAAAAUGAAGAAUAACCGUGAGUGACAAAGCCCGGAACAGCCAGGCCGCGAUCUGAAGACGGCUGACGAUUGACAGGAGGUUUAAGCAUUUCCGCAGCAUACAACCACCCAACACGGUGAUCACAGUCAUGGAUGUAUCCUGGCACACCAGAGUUUGAGGACUUCAGACCGUUGCCCACGUUUUAGUGACACACUUACACAGACAUUACUUACGGGAAGUUAAACACCAUUUCUGUCUGGCAAUGCUUCCCAUGUUACUCACCAAAUAAGCCCGGUCAUUUAAUCUCUCCACAAGAUGAGAUACACAAACUUUGAGGCACUCCAGGAGGCCCUUCUGGAAGAAUCUCAAAGUUGAUUUUAGGCCAGAUGGCUUAAUUUAGGAUUUGGAUCCUGGGAAAACCUUCGAUCUAAAGAUGUCAGAAAGUUGGAAUGACUUUCUUCAACCAAAUCAGAGAUCACUGCUAAAUAGUAGUUACUCAUUUAACCACAGUGACAAUCAAAAGACUUCAAAAGGAAGGCCGGGCGAGGUGGCUCACGCUGAGAUCUCAGCACGUUGGGAGGCCGAGGUGGCAGAUCAAGUGGUCAGCCUGGACCAACAUGGUAAAACCCCGUCUCUACUAAAAAUACAAAAAUUAGCUGGUCAUGGUGGCGGGCACCUGUAAUCCCAGCUACUCAGGAGGCUGAGGCAGGAGAAUUGCUUGAACCCAGGAGGCGGAGGUUGCGGUGAGCCAAGAUAGCGCCACUGCACUCCAGCCUGGAUGACAGAGCAAGACUCCGUCUCAGAACAAACAAACAAAAGACUUUAAAAGCGAUACGGAAAGUUCCAUGCAUGGGAAAACCUUUAAAGCUCAGUCUCCCUAAGCAACCUGUGUUUCCUAGGCCAGUAAGCAGGGAAUACAUUACUAAUACCACAGGAAGUCCUGGUGACAUGAAACAACUCAGCCGCAUUAAGAAAAACUAAGAACACAGAAUGAAUCUACACUGGCACAGUGCCGGGGCGCGGUGGCUCACGCUUCUAAUUCCAACAUCCCAACACUUUGGGAGGCUGAGGUGGGUGGAUCACAAGAUCAGGAGUUCAAAACCAGUCUGACUAACAUGGUGAAAUCCCGUCUCUACCAAAAAUAGAAAAAUGAGCUGGGUGUGGUGGCACGCACCUGUAAUCCCGGCUACUCGGGAGGCUGAGGCAGGAGAAUGGCUUGAACUCUGGUGGAGAUUGCAGUGAGUCAAGAUCACGCCACUGCACUCCAGCCUGGGCGAACGAGAGAGACUCCAUCUCAAAAAAAAGAAAAAAACAAAAAUAAAAACAAACAAACAAAAAAACCUGUUACAAAUAAUUUCAUCUAAUUAUAGCCAACAUGUUCUUUUUUAAAAGAAGAAAUAUAUGUUUGUAAUCAUAUUUUAGGUUCUGGGUACAUGUGCAGAUCAUGCAGGAUUGUUGCGUAGGUACAUACAUGGCAACGUGGUUAGCUGCUUCCAUCCGCCAUCCCCUAUAACCGGCAUUUCUCCCUCUGUUAUUCCUCCCCAAUCUCUCUACCCCCCACUGUCGCUUCCCUAGUCCCCCCGCAAUAGGCCCCAGUGUGUGAUGCUCCCCUCCCUGUGUCCAUGUGUUCUCAUUGUUCAACACCCACCUAUGAGUGAGAGAGAACAUGAGGUGUUUGAUCCUCUGUUCUUGUGUCAGUUUGCUGAGAAUGAUGGUUUCCAGAUUCAACCAUGUCCCUACAAAGGACAAUAACUCAUCAUUUUUUAUGGCUGCAUAGUAUUCCAUGGUGUAUAUGUGCCCCAUUUUCCCUGUCCAGUCUAUCAUCAAUGGGCAUUUGGGUUGGUUCCAGGUCUUUGCUAUUGUAAACAGUGCCGCAAUGAGCAUAUGUGUGCAUGUGACUUUAUAAUAGAACGAUUUAUAAUCCUUUGGAUAUAUACCCAUUAGUGAGAUUGCUGUGUCAAAUGGAAUUUCUAUUUCUCGGUCCUUGAGGAAUCGCCACACUGUCUUCCAUAAUUUACACUCCCACCCACAGUGUAAAAGUGUUCCUAUUUCUCCACAUCCUCUCCAGCAUCUGUUGUCUCCAGAUUUUUUAAUGAUCGCCGUUCUAACUGGCAUGAGAUGGUAUCUCAAUGUAGUUUUGAUUUGCAUUUCUCUAAUGACCAGUGAUGAUGAGCAUUUUUUCAUAUGUUUGUUGGCCUCAUGUAUGUCUUCUUUUGUAAAGUGUAUUUUCAUGUCCUUCGCCCACUUUUGAAUGGGCUUGUUUGUUUUUUUUUUUGUAAAUCUGUUUUAGUUCUUUGUAGAUUCUGGAUAUUAGCCCUUUGUCAGAUGGGUAGAUUGUAAAAUUUUUUCCCAUUCUGUUGGUUGUGGGUUCACUCUGAUGACUGUUUCUUUUGCUGUACAGAAGCUCUGCAGUUUAAUUAGAUCCCAUUUGUCUAUUUUGGCUUUUGUUGCCAGUGCUUUUGGUGUUUUAGUCAUGAAGUCCUUGCCUGUCUAUGUCCUGAAUGGUUUUGCCGAGGUUUUCUUCUAGGGUUUUUACGGUGUUAGGUCUUAUGUUUAAGUCUUUAAUCCAUCUGGAGUUAAUUUUAGUGUAAGGUGUCAGGAAGGAGUCUAGUUUCAGCUUCUGCACAUGGCUAGCCAGUUUUCCCAACACCAUUUAUUCAACAGGGAAUCCUUUCCCCCAUUGCUUAUUUUUGUCAGGUUUGUCAAAGAUCAGAUGGUUGUAGAUGUGUGGUGUUAUUUCUGAGGCCUCUGUUCUGUUCCAUUGGUCUACAUCUCUGUUUUGGUACCAGUACCAAGCUGUUUUGAUUACUGUAGGCUUGUAGUAUAGUUUGAAGUCAGGUAGCGUGAUGCCUCCAGCUUUGUUCUUUUUGCUUAGGACUGUCUUCGCUAUGUGGGCUCUCUUUUGGUUCCACAUGGAGUUUAAGGUGGUGUUUUCCAUUUCUGUGAAGAGAGUCAUAGGUAGUUUGAUGGGGAUAGUGCUGAAUCUGUAAAUUACUUUGGGCAGUAUGGCCAUUUUCACAAUAUUGAUCCUUCCUAACUAUGAGCAUGGACUGUUUUUCCAUCUGUUUGUGUCCUCUCAUAUUUCCUUGAGCAGUGGUUUGUAGUUCUCCUUGAAGAGGACCUUUACAUCCUUUGUGACACCUGACAUUUUCAUUGUAAGUUCCCAUUCACGAGCCUUGUCAUGACUUACUCAGACACCUGCGACAUGCUUGGACUGCCUGGUAUUUCCUCUGUCUUAAACGUGCAGUCGUUUCAGUCUAGGACAGACACUGACCAUACAGGAUUCUUUCCUGUACAAAAUUAUUCUCACUGCUUCACAUCCAUAGCUUUCUUUACAUCUCUCUCUCAUCUACUUAUGGGUUCCUUUUACCUUUUUUCUAUUUCUUUCUUAAGUUCUUAUUUAAAAACUCCCUUUAAAUAACUUCUGAAUUACACAAAAUUACUUUUUUCUCAAUAAAGAACAUGUUUUAUACCUUUCUUAUUGUUUUCUUAUUAAGUACCCAUUACUUUUGGAAACUUCCUCUAUAGAUUUGUAUAUUAGGAUUUUUAAAAACCCUUAUUACUCUUAAAUUUUUGUUUUUAAUUAUCCUUUGCUUUUUUUUGAAAAAGGGUCUGUUUCAAAUUGAUGAAACAGGGUCUUGCUCCAACACCUAGACUGGAGGGCAGUGGCAUGAUUUUGGCUCACUGCAGCCUCAACCUCCCUGGCUCAAGUGAUCCUCCCACCUCAGCCUCCUGAGUAGCUGGGACUAGGGUAGGCAUGUGCCGCCACCCCUGGUUAAUAUAUAUAUAUGUAUAUAUGUAGGGACAUGGUCUUGCCGUGUUGCCCAGGUCUCAAAUAUCUUCCUGCCUCAGCUUUUCAAAGUUCUGGAAUUGCAUGAGCCACAGUGACUGUCCGGUACCUUUCAAUUUUAUUAAAAACAAAGGAAACACAAAAUCUUGAAUUGCCUAUACCAUAUUGGUAUUUUAUGGAGAAGAUCCAUUUUUUAAUUGUUAGAAAAAUAUGUUUCCCUGGCUGGGUGCAGUGGCUCACUCCUGUAAUCCCAGCACUUUGGGAGGCGGAGGUGGGCAGAGUACGAGGUCAGGAGUUUGAGACCAGCCUGGACAACACAGCAAGACCCUAUCUCUAAAAAGGAAAUACAAAAAUUGGCCAGGUGCAUGCUUGUAGUUCGGCUCUGCGGGAGGCUGAGGCGGGAGGACUGCUGGACUGAACCUGGAAGUUGGAGGUCACAGUGAGCCAAGAUCAGGCCACUGCACUCCAGCCUGGGUGACGGAGCCAGAGCUUGUCUCAAAAACAACCAACCAACCAAACAACUCCACUGCACAAGAGCUUCAGAAUUGCUUGCCUCUAGAAACCAUACUUUCCUCAGAACAUCUAACCCUUCCAAAACUACAGCAGCAGCCAGAAGCCGCUGUUCACCCUGACGCAUUCCUUCGUGAUGAAGACUUUACUGAUUCAUUCUGUGACGGAGGGUGAAUGAGCAGAAACUGCUGUGUGGUGUGUGGUUCACGCCAAACAGAACCUUUAGAUGGAUGGCUCAUUGCUUCUCCCUCACGGAAGUGAAGCUCAUUUAUCAUCAUGCACACCUGAUCAAUCAGAAAGGUCGUGGCUGACACCAACUCCAGGCUCAGCACAGGCUUUACGGGGCGAGCUUAGAGUUUAGCAGCGAAACACUAUGGCAUGGACCUGAAUGGAGACUUCGGCCAGUUGCAGGAGAUGGGCAUUAAGAAAUACCAGUUCUCACAGAAUAAAGGUGCUUCAUGCAGACAUCUGUUCCCAGGGCUUCCUUCUGCAAAGUGCUAAUGCUGUUUUCAUGAAUAAGGUCUUCAAAUCUCCCCUUAAUGAGACAGAACAGGCCAGCGCUGGUCAUAUCAGUCAUAACGUAAGGAAGCAGAUCGUUAUUAGUGACAGUGCCAAGCCUUGCAGAUUCUCUCCUGGGUCUUCAGACUGACACACACUCAUCUCCUCGGGUCAAAGAUGUACUGUGGAACUAUGUGCACACCCACAAAAGUAUAUUGACAAACAGCUCUGUUUUUUUCUUUUGUGAUAAGGUCUCACUCUGUCGUCUAGCCUGGAAUGCAGCGGUAUGACAAUGGCUCACUGCAACCUCCGACUCCCUGUGCUCAGGUGAUCCUCCUGCCUCAGCCUGCUGAGUAGCUGGGGCCACAGCCUUUGUACCCAGGACAGCAGAUUUGUAAACAGUUGAACGUGUAUACAGCCUUGCCUGCUUUGUGUGAUGAUAUAAUAAAAACGGUAUCUGAAAACAGUA